AACUCGGCAACGAAAGGAAACGAGUAGUGUCUUAUCUCCCUGUUUUAGAGAGCUGAUGGUGGUGUAAAUCAGUACAAAGAUAAGCAUGAAUUACCAUCCUGGAGCUUCUUUUUCGUAUUAAAUUACGUAAAAGACGGUCAUCUUGAUCGUUAACAAUAAGUAAGUGGUGAGCAAUUUCCGUUCACAACUAGGGUGGUACCGCGAUUACAAUCGUCCCUACU
rnacentral:ncRNA from 1 species